UGGAGCAAAACUCAAAAACUUAGUCUCAGUUCGGAUUGUAGGCUGAAACUCGCCUACAUGAAGCUGGAGUUGCUAGUAAUCGCGAAUCAGCAUGUCGCGGUGAAUACGUUCCCGGGCCUUGUACACACCGCCCGUCACACCAUGAGAGUUGGCAAUACCCAACGUACGUGAUCUAACCCGCAAGGGAGGAAGCGUCCUAAGGUAGGGUCAGCGAUUGGGGUGAAGUCGUAACAAGGUAAC
rnacentral:rRNA from 1 species